rnacentral:tRNA from 1 species
GCCAUCGUGGUGUAACGGUAGCACACUAGGCGCGUAUUUGAGUGAUCCAGGUUCGAUUCCCGGCGAUGGCA